GGCGAACGCUGGCGGCGUGCCUAAUACAUGCAAGUCGAGCGGACUGAUUAAGAGCUUGCUCUUAUGACGUUAGCGGCGGACGGGUGAGUAACACGUGGGCAACCUGCCCUGUAGAUCGGGAUAACACCGAGAAAUCGGUGCUAAUACCGGGUAAUAUCUGAGAUCACAUGAUCUUAGGUUAAAAGAUGGCUCCGGCUAUCACUACAGGAUGGGCCCGCGGCGCAUUAGCUAGUUGGUAAGGUAAUGGCUUACCAAGGCGACGAUGCGUAGCCGACCUGAGAGGUUGAUCGGCCACACUGGGACUGAGACACGGCCCAGACUCCUACGGGAGGCAGCAGUAGGGAAUCUUCCGCAAUGGACGAAAGUCUGACGGAGCAACGCCGCGUGAGUGAUGAAGGGUUUCGGCUCGUAAAGCUCUGUUGUUAGGGAAGAAACAGUACCGAACGAACUAGGUCGGUACCUUGACGGUACCUAACCAGAAAGCCACGGCUAACUACGUG
rnacentral:rRNA from 1 species